rnacentral:rRNA from 1 species
GAGUUUGAUCAUGGCUCAGGAUGAACGCUAGCGGCAGGCUUAACACAUGCAAGUCGAGGGGUAUAGUAGCAAUACUAGAGACCGGCGCACGGGUGCGUAACGCGUAUGCAAUCUACCUUUUACAGAGGGAUAGCCCAGAGAAAUUUGGAUUAAUACCACAUAGUAUAGCUGAACCGCAUGGUUCUACUAUUAAAGUCACAACGGUAAAAGAUGAGCAUGCGUCCCAUUAGCUAGUUGGUAAGGUAACGGCUUACCAAGGCAACGAUGGGUAGGGGUCCUGAGAGGGAGAUCCCCCACACUGGUACUGAGACACGGACCAGACUCCUACGGGAGGCAGCAGUGAGGAAUAUUGGACAAUGGGCGCAAGCCUGAUCCAGCCAUGCCGCGUGCAGGAUGAAGCAUCUAUGGUGUGUAAACUGCUUUUGUACGAGAAGAAACAUCCCUACGUGUAGGGACUUGACGGUAUCGUAAGAAUAAGGAUCGGCUAACUCCGUGCCAGCAGCCGCGGUAAUACGGAGGAUCCAAGCGUUAUCCGGAAUCAUUGGGUUUAAAGGGUCCGUAGGCGGUCUUAUAAGUCAGUGGUGAAAUCUCCCCGCUCAACGGGGAAACGGCCAUU